CUUCAACGAGCCCAGCCACAGCGGCUGUUGCGGGUCCCGGCCCCGGCCGUAUGUCGCGAGCAGCGCCUGCGCCUC
rfam:Streptomyces cellostaticus strain DSM 40189 genomic scaffold PRJNA299219_s051, whole genome shotgun sequence.